rnacentral:lncRNA from 1 species
GGCUUGGAUUGUAUCUUUUGUAUGUGUGAAAAAAAAAUGAUCGAUAUUUUUUUUGCGACAUUAAUCAUUAAUUGGAUCGUGCUCCACACAAAUCUCAAAGCAUUGCACUAUUUCAUCCAUCCAUUUGUAUGAGAUCUCUCAAAAUAUUUCAUGCUUUCAUCCAUCCAUCUGCAUGGAUCUCAAAGCAAUCAUUAUACAAUCCAUCGAUAAAUUCAUGUGAAGAUAAAUCCUUGUUUCGUGUGAAAGAUUUAACCUCUGCCCUCCGUCAUUUGCUUAGAUUUUUAUUUAUUUAUUUUUUGGCCUUAAAAUACUCUUAACCAUUCGAUCAUAUUCCAUACAAAUCUGGAAACAUUCCACACUUUUUCAUCCAUCCACUUUCAUGGAUCUCAAAUCGAUCAUUGUGCGAUUCAAUGGUAGAUUUAUGUGAAGGAAGAUGAAUCCUUUCUCCAUGCAAAUGAUGCAACCCCUACCCUCCACCACUUACUCCUUAUGCUUUUUUCUUAUUUAUCUUUUGACCUUAAAAAAUAUUCUUGCAUUUAUUCACUGCUCUAUAGCAUCUAGAAGUUCCUUCAUCAUUUCACUACGACGUCUGUCCGGCACAUCUUUCAGAAAGCGAACAAUACCGCAAAUGUGAUUGCAUCUUUUGUUGCUAGGUAUAUCAGAGAUUAGACAUGGUGUCAAGACGACAAUUGCCCAUGAACCCUACGAAAUAUUUUGUAUUCUGAUUUUUAGGACUGUAUUCAUACUAGAAGAACGUAGUUGCCUACUUAUACCCCCCAAAGAAAAACCCUCUUGCAUGCCCUUUCUAUUUUAUCACAUAACACCUACCUUUGAAGACCUUUGACUCAUGUCUGAGUGCAAGGUCAACAAAGUUUUUGUAAUCAUAUGAAAUCAUCCGGGAUC